ACGAACGCUGGCGGCGUGGAUAAGACAUGCAAGUCGAACGAGAGAAUUGCUAGCUUGCUAAUAAUUCUCUAGUGGCGCACGGGUGAGUAACACGUGAGUAACCUGCCCCCGAGAGCGGGAUAGCCCUGGGAAACUGGGAUUAAUACCGCAUAGUAUCGAAAGAUUAAAGCAGCAAUGCGCUUGGGGAUGGGCUCGCGGCCUAUUAGUUAGUUGGUGAGGUAACGGCUCACCAAGGCGAUGACGGGUAGCCGGUCUGAGAGGAUGUCCGGCCACACUGGAACUGAGACACGGUCCAGACACCUACGGGUGGCAGCAGUCGAGAAUCAUUCACAAUGGGGGAAACCCUGAUGGUGCGACGCCGCGUGGGGGAAUGAAGGUCUUCGGAUUGUAAACCCCUGUCAUGUGGGAGCAAAUUAAAAAGAUAGUACCACAAGAGGAAGAGACGGCUAACUCUGUGCCAGCAGCCGCGGUAAUACAGAGGUCUCAAGCGUUGUUCGGAAUCACUGGGCGUAAAGCGUGCGUAGGCUGUUUCGUAAGUCGUGUGUGAAAGGCGCGGGCUCAACCCGCGGACGGCACAUGAUACUGCGAGACUAGAGUAAUGGAGGGGGAACCGGAAUUCUCGGUGUAGCAGUGAAAUGCGUAGAUAUCGAGAGGAACACUCGUGGCGAAGGCGGGUUCCUGGACAUUAACUGACGCUGAGGCACGAAGGCCAGGGGAGCGAAAGGGAUUAGAUACCCCUGUAGUCCUGGCAGUAAACGGUGCACGCUUGGUGUGCGGGGAAUCGACCCCCUGCGUGCCGGAGCUAACGCGUUAAGCGUGCCGCCUGGGGAGUACGGUCGCAAGAUUAAAACUCAAAGAAAUUGACGGGGACCCGCACAAGCGGUGGAGUAUGUGGCUUAAUUCGAUGCAACGCGAAGAACCUUACCUGGGCUUGACAUGUAAUGAACAACAUGUGAAAGCAUGCGACUCUUCGGAGGCGUUACACAGGUGCUGCAUGGCCGUCGUCAGCUCGUGUCGUGAGAUGUUUGGUUAAGUCCAGCAACGAGCGCAACCCCUGUUGCCAGUUACCAGCACGUGAAGGUGGGGACUCUGGCGAGACUGCCCAGAUCAACUGGGAGGAAGGUGGGGACGACGUCAGGUCAGUAUGGCCCUUAUGCCCAGGGCUGCACACGUACUACAAUGCCCAGUACAGAGGGGGCCGAAGCCGCGAGGCGGAGGAAAUCCUGAAAACUGGGCCCAGUUCGGACUGUAGGCUGCAACCCGCCUACACGAAGCCGGAAUCGCUAGUAAUGGCGCAUCAGCUACGGCGCCGUGAAUACGUUCCCUGGUCUUGUACACACCGCCCGUCACAUCAUGGAAGCCGGUCGCACCCGAAGUAUCUGAAGCCAACCGCAAGGAGGCAGGGUCCUAAGGUGAGACUGGUAACUGGGAUG
rnacentral:rRNA from 1 species